rnacentral:rRNA from 1 species
UGGGGAAUAUUGCGCAAUGGGCGAAAGCCUGACGCAGCGACGCCGCGUGAGGGAUGAAGGUCUUCGGAUCGUAAACCUCUUUCAGUAGGGACGAAGCGAAAGUGACGGUACCUAAAGAAGAAGCACCGGCUAACUACGUGCCAGCAGCCGCGGUAAUACGUAGGGUGCAAGCGUUGUCCGGAUUUAUUGGGCGUAAAGAGCUCGUAGGCGGCUUAACACGUCGGAUGUGAAAAUUCGCAGCUCAACUGCGAACCUGCAUUCGAUACGGUUUAGCUAGAGUGUGGUAGGGGUAACUGGAAUUCCUGGUGUAGCGGUGAAAUGCGCAGAUAUCAGGAGGAACACCGAUGGCGAAGGCAGGUUACUGGGCCAAUACUGACGCUGAGGAGCGAAAGCGUGGGGA